CAGCCGCCGCGGUAAUACGAAGAGGGCUAGCGUUGUUCGGAUUUACUGGGCGUAAAGCGCACGUAGGCGGAUUCUUAAGUCAGAGGUGAAAUCCUAAGGCUCAACCUUGGAACUGCCUUUGAUACUGGGGAUCUUGAGUUCGGGAGAGGUGAGUGGAACUGCGAGUGUAGAGGUGAAAUUCGUAGAUAUUCGCAAGAACACCAGUGGCGAAGGCGGCUCACUGGCCCGAUACUGACGCUGAGGUGCGAAAGCGUGGGGAGCAAACAGGAUUAGAUACCCCCGUAGUCCCUGUCUCUUAUAC
rnacentral:rRNA from 1 species